UUUAGUAAUUUUCAUUUUUAUUUUAUCAUACCGUACUAUCUAACCAAACAAAAAAAAGUUAUUAAACCAUCUUAUACCAUACAAUUUUUCCAAAUGUGUUAAUAAUAAAAACUGUACCAUACAAUACGAUACGAUACGAUGUAUUAAUAAACUACGUUGUACUCAAUGCCAACAGGGUGUUAGGAAUCGUAGGGGUGGUUAGUUUGUGGUAGAGAAAAGAACAAUUAUGAUAAGAGUUUAGAAUUGCAGGGUAGAAAUGAGAGAAAAAACACUGAAUUGUAUAUUGACAACUUCUGAAAUUACAACUAAUAUCUGGUAUAUCGUUCUUACUUAGCUAAUCAUAAAAAGAAAGAAAAAGAUAACAAAAUGACCAACAAUGGCCCCAGGAAAUAUCCCCAAGCAGAACACUUUGCCUUUAACCAGAAAAAUGGACUCAAAAAGCAUGUCCCUUAUUUCCAUAACUCCCUCCAUACAUAUAUUGUUUCUCUAGUAUAACAAACUCUAGCUCACACCUCACGUGUUCCCUCCUCUCUCCUGUUAUUUUUUUUCCUUAAAUCUUCUACAAUAAACCUCGAAGGGUCUCUGGGCUUGGGCCUCAUUUUGAGCUUAUUUUGACCGCCCUCCAAUUGCUGCCUAUCAGUUUGCUUUUAAGAUGAUGAUGAUUUUAAUGGUUAACAAUAUCUUGGUGGUGGUUCAUAUUUUUAAGGAAUGGUAACAGCCAACUGUCAAACUUUUAUGUUACUGUGACCUGAAAACAGUGAAAGUUCACACACACGCGCACUCAUGUUUCUAUUACAACAACUGGAAUACCCAUCGUUUUGUUACAUAUGCAAUGCAUGCAAUACUAGAAAUAGGGGUUUUGUUGGAAGGAAAUUUUGUGCUAUCUUCUGUGACUUAAAAUCUUAAUAUAAUAAUACUAGUUGUUUUCUGGAAAAGUUUGCAAUUCUAUGACUGCUGCUUGGCCAUAAUUUGAUGUGAUGCGGCAGUAACUACCUAAAUGUAGAAAAGCCUAGAUGGUGUGCCAACCCUUGGAAGGCACUGGCAGCCAGUUGCCUGCAUGUAUGUGGGGAUGACGGAUUUGCAUCCUUUCCUUUAUGGCUUUCCUAUUUGUGUGACCUGCAUUUUCUUCCACAGCCAUUGUGAGCCAAACCUGAUGGUUUUUCCUUGCUGUUUUAGAACUUUUGUUUCUGCUACUAAAUUCAUGUAGUGAAAAGUAAGAACCAAAAGAACCACUUGAUGCAUUGGAAUGCAACCAUGUUAUUUAAUGUUGUUUCUAGACACGAGAUUAUUUUUAUCUGCAUUGUUUGAAAUGGCAUUGUUCUUGGACUUUUCUUUGGGUGUUGUUUUGUACACUUUGCUAUCCACACUUUUUUUUUUUCCUGGG
rnacentral:misc_RNA from 1 species